rnacentral:rRNA from 1 species
AUUGAACGCUAGCGGGAUGCUUUACACAUGCAAGUCGAACGAGUGGCGGACGGGUGAGUAAUAUAUCGGAACGUGCCCAGUAGAGGGGGAUAACUACUCGAAAGAGUGGCUAAUACCGCAUACUAUCGGAGAGGCCCAUAUCGGAGUAGCUAGUUGGUGGGGUAAAGGCUCACCAAGGCAACGAUCCGUAGCUGGUUUGCGAGGACGACCCGCCACACUGGGAUUGAGACACGGCCCAGACUCCUACGGUAGGCAGCAGUGGGGAAUUUGGGACAAGGGGGGAAACCCUGAUCCAGCCAUCCCGCGUGUAUGAGAAGGCCUUCGGGUUGUAAAGUACUUUUGGCAGAGAAGCGGUAUCUGCAGAAUAAGCACCGGCUAACUCCGUGCCAGCAGCCGCGGUAAUUC